rnacentral:rRNA from 1 species
GUGGGGAAUAUUGGACAAUGGGCGCAAGCCUGAUCCAGCCAUGCCGCGUGAGUGAUGAAGGCCUUAGGGUUGUAAAGCUCUUUCACCGAUGAAGAUAAUGACGGUAGUCGGAGAAGAAGCCCCGGCUAACUUCGUGCCAGCAGCCGCGGUAAUACGAAGGGGGCUAGCGUUGUUCGGAUUUACUGGGCGUAAAGCGCACGUAGGCGGUUUGUUAAGUCAGGGGUGAAAUCCCGGAGCUCAACUCCGGAACUGCCUUUGAUACUGGCAAGCUAGAGUCCGGAAGAGGUAAGUGGAACUCCUAGUGUAGAGGUGGAAUUCGUAGAUAUUAGGAAGAACACCAGUGGCGAAGGCGGCUUACUGGUCCGGAACUGACGCUGAGGUGCGAAAGCGUGGGGAGCAAACAGGAUUAGAAACCCGAGUAGUCC